CGGUUAAAAAGCUCGUAGUUGGAUUUCUGUCGGUGAGUGGCGGUCCGCCCCCUGUGGUGAGCACUCGUCAGGCACCGACAUCUUCCUGGGGAUUGCGCUGCACUUCACUGUGUGGUGUACUAUCCAGGGCGUUUACUUUGAGGAAAUGAGAGUGUUUCAAGCAAGCAUCUGCCAUGAAUACGUUAGCAUGGAAUAAUAGCAUCGGACCUCGAUCUGAAGCUGUUGGUGUUUUGGGUCGGGGUAAAGGUGAAUAGAGAUUGUUGGGGGCAUUCGUAUUUAACUGUCAGAGGUGAAAUUCUUGGAUUUGUUGAAGACGGACUACUGCGAAAGCAUCUGCCAAAGAUGUUCUCAUUGAUCAAGAACGAAAGUUAGGUGAUCGAAGACGAUCAGAUACCGUCCUAGUCUUAACCAUAAACUAUGCCACCUGGAGAUAGGGGGUCGUUAUUUGUUGACACCUUCUGCAUCCUGAGAGAAAUCAAAGUCUUUGGGUUCCGGGGGGAGUAUGGU
rnacentral:rRNA from 1 species